GAUGAACGCUGGCGGCGUGCCUAAUACAUGCAAGUCGAGCGAACGGACGAGAAGCUUGCUUCUCUGAUGUUAGCGGCGGACGGGUGAGUAACACGUGGAUAACCUACCUAUAAGACUGGGAUAACUUCGGGAAACCGGAGCUAGUACCGGAUGAUAUUUUGAACCGCAUGGUUCAAAAGUGAAAGACGGUCUUGCUGUCACUUAUAGAUGGAUCCGCGCUGCAUUAGCUAGUUGGUAAGGUAACGGCUUACCAAGGCAACGAUGCAUAGCCGACCUGAGAGGGUGAUCGGCCACACUGGAACUGAGACACGGCCCAGACUCCUACGGGAGGCAGCAGUAGGGAAUCUUCCGCAAUGGGCGAAAGCCUGACGGAGCAACGCCGCGUGAGUGAUGAAGGUCUUCGGAUCGUAAAACUCUGUUAUUAGGGAAGAACAUAUGUGUAAGUAACUGUGCACAUCUUGACGGUACCUAAUCAGAAAGCCACGGCUAACUACGUG
rnacentral:rRNA from 1 species